rnacentral:rRNA from 1 species
AUUGAACGCUGGCGGCAGGCCUAACACAUGCAAGUCGAGCGAGCGGCGGACGGGUGAGUAAUGUCUGGGAAACUGCCUGAUGUAGGGGGAUAACUACUGGAAACGGUAGCUAAUACCGCAUACCAUCAGAUGUGCCCAGAUGGGAUUGGCUAGUAGGUGGGGUAACGGCUCACCUAGGCGACGAUCCCUAGCUGGUCUGAGAGGAUGACCAGCCACCCGGGAACUGGGACACGGUCAGAACUCCUCCGGAGGGCGGAGUUGGGGAAUAUUGCCCAAUGGGCGAAAGCCUGAUGCGGACAUGCCGCGUGUGUGAAGAAGGCCUUCGGGUUGUAAAGCACUUUCAGCGGGGAGGCGUUACCCGCAGAGGAAGGACCGGCUAACUCCGUGCCAGCCGCCGCGGUAAUAC